rnacentral:pre_miRNA from 1 species
AGUGGGAUUACUGGGUCAUAUGGUAAGUGUACAUUUAACUUUAUAUGAAAUUGCCAAACCAUUCUCUAGAGUGGCUGUACCAUUUUGCAUUCCCACCAACAAU